ACGGGUGAGUAAUGCCUAGGAAUCUGCCUGGUAGUGGGGGAUAACGUUCGGAAACGGACGCUAAUACCGCAUACGUCCUACGGGAGAAAGCAGGGGACCUUCGGGCCUUGCGCUAUCAGAUGAGCCUAGGUCGGAUUAGCUAGUUGGUGAGGUAAUGGCUCACCAAGGCGACGAUCCGUAACUGGUCUGAGAGGAUGAUCAGUCACACUGGAACUGAGACACGGUCCAGACUCCUACGGGAGGCAGCAGUGGGGAAUAUUGGACAAUGGGCGAAAGCCUGAUCCAGCCAUGCCGCGUGUGUGAAGAAGGUCUUCGGAUUGUAAAGCACUUUAAGUUGGGAGGAAGGGCAUUAACCUAAUACGUUAGUGUUUUGACGUUACCGACUGAAUAAGCACCGGCUAACUCUGUGCCAGCAGCCGCGGUAAUACAGAGGGUGCAAGCGUUAAUCGGAAUUACUGGGCGUAAAGCGCGCGUAGGUGGUUUGUUAAGUUGGAUGUGAAAUCCCCGGGCUCAACCUGGGAACUGCAUUCAAAACUGACCGACUAGAGUAUGGUAGAGGGUGGUGGAAUUUCCUGUGUAGCGGU
rnacentral:rRNA from 1 species